GAAAUGCGAUAAGUAGUGUGAAUUGCAGAAUUCAGUGAAUCAUCGAAUCUUUGAACGCACAUUGCGCCCCUUGGUAUUCCGGGGGGCAUGCCUGUUCGAGCGUCAUCUACACCCUCAAGCUCUGCUUGGUGUUGGGCGUCUGUCCCGCCUCGGCGCGCGGACUCGCCCCAAAUCCAUUGGCAGCGGUCCUUGCCUCCUCUCGCGCAGCACAUUGCGCUUCUCGAGGGGCUCCGGCCCGCGUCCAACAAGAAAACAUUACCGUCUUUGACCUCGGAUCAGGUAGGGAUACCUGCUGAACUUAAGC
rnacentral:misc_RNA from 1 species